rnacentral:rRNA from 1 species
GUGAGGAAUAUUGGUCAAUGGGCGGGAGCCUGAACCAGCCAAGUCGCGUGAAGGAAGAAGGAUCUAUGGUUCGUAAACUUCUUUUGCAGGGGAAUAAAGUGCAGGACGUGUCCUGUUUUGUAUGUACCCUGAGAAUAAGGAUCGGCUAACUCCGUGCCAGCAGCCGCGGUAAUACGGAGGAUCUGAGCGUUAUCCGGAUUUAUUGGGUUUAAAGGGUGCGUAGGUGGUUUGAUAAGUCAGCGGUGAAAGUUUGCAGCUUAACUGUAAAAAUGCCUUUGAUACUGUCGGACUUGAGUGUAAAUGAGGUAGACGGAAUGCGUGGUGUAGCGGUGAAAUGCAUAGAUAUCACGCAGAACUCCGAUGGCGAAGGCAGCUUACUAAGCUACAACUGACACUGAAGCACGAAAGCGUGGGGAUCAAACAGGAUUAGAUACCCUAGUAGUCC